CAUGUGGUUUAAUUCGAAGCAACGCGUAAGAACCUUACCAGGUCUUGACAUCCCGAUGCUAUUUCUAGAGAUAGAAAGUUACUUCGGUACAUCGGUGACAGGUGGUGCAUGGUUGUCGUCAGCUCGUGUCGUGAGAUGUUGGGUUAAGUCCCGCAACGAGCGCAACCCCUAUUGUUAGUUGCCAUCAUUCAGUUGGGCACUCUAGCGAGACUGCCGGUAAUAAACCGGAGGAAGUGGGGAUGACGUCAAAUCAUCAUGCCCCUUAUGACCUGGGCUACACACGUGCUACAAUGGUUGGUACAACGAGUUGCGAGUCGGUGACGGCGAGCUAAUCUCUUAAAGCCAAUCUCAGUUCGGAUUGUAGGCUGCAACUCGCCUACAUGAAGUCGGAAUCGCUAGUAAUCGCGGAUCAGCACGCCGCGGUGAAUACGUUCCCGGGCCUU
rnacentral:rRNA from 1 species